AUCCAGCUGACGAGUCCCAAAUAGGACUAACUGCGCAUCCUGGAU
rnacentral:hammerhead_ribozyme from 1 species